rnacentral:rRNA from 1 species
UCAUAUGCUUGUCUUAAAGAUUAAGCCAUGCAUGUCUAAGUAUAAGCUUUUAUACGGCUAAACUGCGAAUGGCUCAUUAAAACAGUUAUAGUUUAUUUGAUGGUCUUUACUACAUGGAUAACCGUGGUAAUUCUAUGGCUAAUACAUGCGCACAUGCCUCUUCCCCUGGAAGGGCAGUGUUUAUUAGAUACAGAACCAACCCACCUUCCGGUGGUCCUCAGGUGAUUCAUAGUAACCGAACGGAUCGCGUUGACUUCGGUCUGCGACGGAUCAUUCAAGUUUCUGACCUAUCAGCUUUCGACGGUACUGUAUUGGACUACCGUGGCAGUGACGGGUAACGGGGAAUUAGGGUUCGAUUCCGGAGAGGGAGCCUGAGAAACGGCUACCACAUCUAAGGAAGGCAGCAGGCGCGCAAAUUACCCAAUCCUGAUUCAGGGAGGUAGUGACAAGAAAUAACAACACUGGAAAUUUCAUUUCUAGUGAUUGGAAUGAUAGGAAUCCAAACCCCUUUCAGAGUAACAAUUGGAGGGCAAGUCUGGUGCCAGCAGCCGCGGUAAUUCCAGCUCCAAUAGCGUAUAUUAAAGUUGUUGCAGUUAAAAAGCUCGUAGUUGGAUUUCUGCUGGAAGCAGCCAGUCCGCCCUCAGGGGUGUGCACUUGGUGAAUUCUAGCAUCCUUCUGGAUUUCUCCACACUUCAUUGUGUGGAGUUUUUUCCAGGACUUUUACUUUGAGAAAAUUAGAGUGUUUCAAGCAGGCUUGUCGCCUUGAAUACUGCAGCAUGGAAUAAUAAGAUAGGAUUUCGGCCCUAUUUUGUUGGUUUCUAGGACUGAAGUAAUGAUUAAUAGGGACGGUUGGGGGCAUUCGUAUUUAACUGUCAGAGGUGAAAUUCUUAGAUUUGUUAAAGACGAACUACUGCGAAAGCAUUUGCCAAAGAUGUUUUCAUUAAUCAAGAACGAAAGUUAGGGGCUCGAAGACGAUCAGAUACCGUCGUAGUCUUAACCAUAAACUAUGCCGACUAGAGAUAGGAAAACGUCAUGCUUGACUUCUCCUGCACCUUAUGAGAAAUCAAAGUCUUUGGGUU